CGGGGACCGCAAGGCCUGGCGCUUGAAGAGGAGCCCGCGUCCGAUUAGCUAGUUGGCGGGGUAACGGCCCACCAAGGCGACGAUCGGUAGCCGGCCUGAGAGGGCGGACGGCCACACUGGAACUGAGACACGGUCCAGACUCCUACGGGAGGCAGCAGUGGGGAAUUGUUCACAAUGGGCGAAAGCCUGAUGGUGCGACGCCGCGUGAGGGAUGAAGGUCUUCGGAUUGUAAACCCCUGUCACCGGGGAAGAAACGCUUCCAGUUAAUAGUUUGAAGCCUGACUUAACCCGGAGAGGAAGCAGUGGCUAACUCUGUGCCCGCAGCCGCGGUAAUACAGAGACUGCAAGCGUUAUUCGGAUUCACUGGGCGUAAAGGGUGCGCAGGCGGCCAGGUGUGUGAGGCGUGAAAGCCCGGGGCUUAACCCCGGAAUUGCACCUCCAACUACUUGGCUAGAGCAUUGGAGAGGGUAGCAGAAUUCAUGGUGUAGCAGUGAAAUGCGUAGAUAUCAUGAGGAAUACCCGACGCGAACGCCGCUACCUGGACCAUUG
rnacentral:rRNA from 1 species